rnacentral:rRNA from 1 species
UGGGGAAUAUUGGACAAUGGGGGCAACCCUGAUCCAGCAAUGCCGCGUGUGUGAAGAAGGUCUUCGGAUUGUAAAGCACUUUCGACGGGGACGAUGAUGACGGUACCCGUAGAAGAAGCCCCGGCUAACUUCGUGCCAGCAGCCGCGGUAAUACGAAGGGGGCUAGCGUUGCUCGGAAUGACUGGGCGUAAAGGGCGUGUAGGCGGUUUACACAGUCAGAUGUGAAAUCCCCGGGCUUAACCUGGGAGCUGCAUUUGAUACGUGUAGACUAGAGUGUGAGAGAGGGUUGUGGAAUUCCCAGUGUAGAGGUGAAAUUCGUAGAUAUUGGGAAGAACACCGGUGGCGAAGGCGGCAACCUGGCUCAUGACUGACGCUGAGGCGCGAAAGCGUGGGGAGCAAACAGGAUUAGAUACCCUGGUAGUCCACGCUGUAAACGAUGUGUGCUAGAUGUUGGGUAACUUUGUUAUUCAGUGUCGCAGUUAACGCGUUAAGCACACCGC